rnacentral:lncRNA from 1 species
CCAUCCCCAUCAAUUCCCUAACCCAUGUCGGGCCCACUUCCCUUGGUGCAAGGUUCCACAGACCCAGCCUUUGUGUUCCGUGACCACACUUGCCACCACAUGCGGCCGCAGGGGAACUUCGUUCCAGAGACAGUGGAUCGACCGCUCACGUCCAAGUUCAAUCAGGUACUAGGCUUCCCCAUCCCAUAAUGGGUAUGAGAUUAGUACUUUCAAAUACUUGAUCACGAACGCCACCACUGUCGGGCCUUAAUCA